UACGUAGGGGGCAAGCGUUGUCCGGAUUUACUGGGCGUAAAGAGCGUGUAGGCGGCCACGCAGGUCCGUUGUGAAAACUGGAGGCUCAACCUCCAGACGUCGACGGAAACCGUAUGGCUAGAGUCCGGAAGAGGAGAGUGGAAUUCCUGGUGUAGCGGUGAAAUGCGCAGAUAUCAGGAAGAACACCAAUGGCGAAGGCAGCUCUCUGGGACGGUGCUGACGCUGAGACGCAAAAGCGUGGGGAGCGAACAGG
rnacentral:rRNA from 1 species